rnacentral:rRNA from 1 species
AGUGAACGCUGGCGGCAUGCCUAACACAUGCAAGUCGAACGGCAGCACAGUUACUUCUUGCUGUUACCGGGGGCGAGUGGCGGGCGUGACAGGAAUAUAUCCGAAUCUACUCUUUCGUGGGGGACAGCGUAGGGAAACUUACUCUAAUACCGCAUACGGCCUACGGGGGAAAUCUGGGGAGCUUCGGACCUUGCGCGAAUGAAUGAGCCGAUGUCGGAUUAGCUGGUUGGAGGGGCAAAGGCGCACCAAGCCGGCGAUCCGUAGCUGGUCUGAGAGGAUGAUCAGCCACACUGGAACUGAGACACGGUCCAGACUCCUACGGGAGGCAGCAGUGGGGAAUAUUGGACAGUGGGCGGAAGCCUGAUCCAGCCAUACCGCGUGGGUGAAGAAGGCCUUCGGGUUGUAAAGCCCUUUUGUUGGGAAGGAAAAGCAGUAGGUUAAUACCACGCUGUUCUGACGGUACCCAAAGAAUAAGCACCGGCUAACUUCGUG